GGACGGGUGAGUAACACGUGGGUAACCUGCCUGUAAGACGGGGAUAACUCCGGGAAACCGGAGCUAAUACCGGAUGAUAACGAGAAGCGCCUGCUUCUUUUUUGAAAGUCGGUUUCGGCUGACGCUUACAGAUGGGCCCGCGGCGCAUUAGCUAGUUGGUGAGGUAACGGCUCACCAAGGCGACGAUGCGUAGCCGACCUGAGAGGGUGAUCGGCCACACUGGGACUGAGACACGGCCCAGACUCCUACGGGAGGCAGCAGUAGGGAAUCUUCGGCAAUGGACGAAAGUCUGACCGAGCAACGCCGCGUGAGCGAUGAAGGCCUUCGGGUCGUAAAGCUCUGUUGUCAGAGAAGAACAAGUACCGGAGUAACUGCCGGUACCUUGACGGUACCUGACCAGAAAGCCACGGCUAACUACGUGCCAGCAGCCGCGGUAAUACGUAGGUGGCAAGCGUUAUCCGGAAUUAUUGGGCGUAAAGCGCGCGCAGGCGGUCUUUUAAGUCUGAUGUGAAAGCCCACGGCUCAACCGUGGAGGGUCAUUGGAAACUGGGAGACUUGAGUGCAGGAGAGAAAAGUGGAAUUCCACGUGUAGCGGUGAAAUGCGUAGAGAUGUGGAGGAACACCAGUGGCGAAGGCGGCUUUUUGGCCUGUAACUGACGCUGAGGCGCGAAAGCGUGGGGAGCAAACAGGAUUAGAUACCCUGGUAGUCCACGCCGUACACGAUGAGUGCUAGGUGUUGGGGGGUUCCACCCUCAGUGCUGACGUUAACACAUUAAGCACUCCGCCUGGGGAGUACGGCCGCAAGGCUGAAACUCAAAGGAAUUGACGGGGGCCCGCACAAGCAGUGGGAGCAUGUGGUUUAAUUCGAAGCAACGCGAAGAACCUUACCAGGUCUUGACAUCCUCUGACCACUUGAGAGAUCAAGCUUUCCCCUUCGGGGGACAGAGUGACAGGUGGUGCAUGGUUGUCGUCAGCUCGUGUCGUGAGAUGUUGGGUUAAGUCCCGCAACGAGCGCAACCCUUGACCUUAGUUGCCAGCAUUCAGUUGGGCACUCUAAGGUGACUGCCGGUGACAAACCGGAGGAAGGUGGGGAUGACGUCAAAUCAUCAUGCCCCUUAUGACCUGGGCUACACACGUGCUACAAUGGGUGGUACAAAGGGUUGCGAAGCCGCGAGGCCGAGCCAAUCCCAAAAAGCCACUCUCAGUUCGGAUUGUAGGCUGCAACUCGCCUACAUGAAGCCGGAA
rnacentral:rRNA from 1 species